rnacentral:rRNA from 1 species
UACGGAGGAUGCAAGCGUUAUCCGGAAUGAUUGGGCGUAAAGCGUCCGCAGGUGGUUUUGUAAGUCUGCUGUUAAAGCGUUAGGCUCAACCUAAUAAGGGCAGUGGAAACUAUGAGACUAGAGUAUGUUAGGGGUAGAGGGAAUUCCCAGUGUAGCGGUGAAAUGCGUAGAGAUUGGGAAGAACACCGGUGGCGAAAGCGCUCUGCUAGGACAAUACUGACACUGAGGGACGAAAGCUAGGGGAGCGAAUGGG